AGUCGCUAGCUGAGAUCUGCUGAGCUUCUCUGGGUUUGGUAACUUAAGUGGAGUCUACCUAAGCCUUUCCCAGACUGUACAACGUUGUAUAACCUGAGACUACAAGACUAGUAAAAUUAGGCAGAACCGGAUAUAAAUGACAAGAGAUUACUGGAAUAUCAGACGCAACACAACAUCUUCCUCUUUGCAUUGUCAUUGAAUUGGAGAAACAUUGAUAAUUAUCUUCAGAAAAUGUGGGCUUCACAUGCUGAAACACUGUUCCAAAAAAUGGAUGGAUCUUUGGCCAUAUAAUUUUUCUCUCCGUGUUAUAUCUUCUAAAUUAAACUUGUAAAAAUUUC